rnacentral:tRNA from 1 species
UCCCGUGUAGCUCAGUUGGUAGAGCAUGGUGUUUGCAACGCCAAGGUUGUAGGUUCGAUUCCCACGGGGG